CACGUAGGGUGCGAGCGUUGUCCGGAAUUAUUGGGCGUAAAGAGCUCGUAGGCGGUGUGUCGCGUCGGCCGUGAAAACCUGCAGCUUAACUGUGGGCGUGCGGUCGAUACGGGCAUCACUGGAGUUCGGUAGGGGAGACUGGAAUUCCUGGUGUAGCGGUGAAAUGCGCAGAUAUCAGGAGGAACACCGGUGGCGAAGGCGGGUCUCUGGGCCGAAACUGACGCUGAGGAGCGAAAGCGUGGGGAGCAAACAGG
rnacentral:rRNA from 1 species